GCGCCCUCUUAAGGCAGCCUCAGGGCUCCAAGAUGCUAACACAGAGGGUAAAGGAAGAAUCAUAAAACAUCCCAGAUUGUAAAAACUUUUCCUUGCAUCCUGUUUGGAGUCACAGCC
ensembl:snoRNA